rnacentral:tRNA from 1 species
GGCUGGAUAGCUCAGUUGGUUAGAGCAUGGUGCUGAUAAUGCCAAGGUUGCAGGUUCGGUCCCCGUAUGGGAUGGCUG